UCUCAGAGCGAUUGCAAUUUCGAAGUUCGAUUUUGAGCACCGCCGUCUACAAUCUCAGAAAAACCAAUCGAAUCCUUCAAAAUCUGCUUCAGCUCCGUGAUUUCGAAGUUCGAUUUGGAACUCUUCAUCUCUUCAAUCAGAGGUUAGUGCUUUCGGUCCUUUGUUUUACAAUCUCAGAGCUCUACAAUCUCAGAACUCUAGAUUGUGCUUUCGAUCCUUUGUUUGGUUGCUGAGAAAACUUCUCAUUACCUCUGAAAUAACAUCAUAUAUUUGAAAAAAAUCUUAGUUGUUCUCUGCUUUUGACUUCUCACUUUCUUCCCAUGCUUUGAUUAGGGAUAACCUUUUUUACCAGUUAUGGACGAGUAAAUUUAUUCAUUUUCUAAGUUUAUUCAGCUCUAAACAGUGCAAUUCUCAUAGGCAUUAUGUAGUUCAUAGGCAUUCGUAAACAGUGCAAUGCUUUGAUCCAGGUAUUCGUGAGUCUGUAUUCUUUUGAUUCGAUUAUGUCCUCUCUACAUUUUCUCAAUUCAUCGCUCUUCUUUCUUCUCCUUUCUCACGUGUUCAUAAUUUUACUACUUUUCAACUCUUUUUUUUUUCUUUUUUGAGUUUCGGUUGAGAGUUUCUAGUUUUAAUCUCGGUUCUCGAGAAAGAAGUGAAACUUUAAUUGAUUUUAAUUGUAUAGAUCGAUCGCAGAAAAACACUACACUUUCGUUGCAGAGUUGAGUCGGAAAAAUGAAAUACCUGCUUCAAGGUCAGGUGCUCAUUCACUUCCUAAAUCCAAUAAGAAUAAUGUGCUCAGUACAAGCCACUCAAAGCAUAAUCAGAUUGGUCAAACAGAUAUAUAUUGUUCAAAAGAGUGCAAGAAUACAAGACCCCUUUAAAAAUACUAAAAGUUCUUCAAAUAAAGCAAAGGCUGGUUGUGAUUCCUCAUCUUUGUCUGCAAAAUCACCACUUCAGCAUCCUAGAAGGAAUAUGUCCUGAAGAUUUUGGAUCAGAAGUGUAUGGCUAUACUCAGCACUGUCACUCGUUGCCAAGACAUGAUAACUGAGAUGAUUACCUGUGCUGUUACUGAAGGGGAUGACAAUCACGGUGAGUGCUUUCACUACUUUGUAUAAUGUGACCUGUUCUGUUCAAGAUUUUAGGAUGUUCUGGGAAGGUUCUCUACUCAAACUACUUGACAGCCUGCUUUUGGAUAGUGAGCCCUUGGGGUCAAGAAACAAGUAUUUCUUUGGCUUUUGUUUGUUCAGUUUGAAAUGGACUACAGUAUUAAAAUGUUUUCAAUCAAGUUGUUUAGAUUAUUGAUUAGAUUCAAGUUUGGGAGGUUUGACCUUCUGGAUUCCCGGAGUUAAGCAAUGCUGGUUAUGCGGCACCUUAGAUCCUAUCACAAGGUAAUUUAUGUAAUUGAUUGAAGAUCGCUGGAAGUAGCAUCAAGUUAUAUAGACAAGCAUCUUCUCAUUGUUGUGUCAUAAUUCCUUCACAGGAAAAUGCAUUGGAAUGUGUCCAAAGAGUUAUAGGAAAACAAGGCAAAGUAACGAGUUGUUUGUUGCCUAUGGUUUUAAUGAAUGCUUAUAAAAUAUAAUUCGCCUUGAAGUUUGUUUUUAUGUUACAGAAGAUAGUUCCUCUUUCUUAUCAAUUUUUUUUUCUGUUUCCUUUGCCAGAGCUGCUGUUACACAUGGUAAAGAUUGUGGCAUGGUAUCUAAAAGUGAGAAGUUAAGAGUAUAUCAUAUAUUCCUUUACAUUCGUUUUUGUUAUUUAUGGAUGACUUAGUGGAAUCCAGUGAUAUGAUCACAUCACAGUUCGUCAUCCUGACAGAAAGCAACUCGAUUCCUACAUGGGAGAUUUUCCAAUUGAGAACAGGUGAAUUGUGAAGCAAGCACACCAAACAAAAAUCCCAUGAAGUUCUUGCUGAUUCUUGAGCCUACUGCAAGCGGAAAAAAAACCAUUUUCCGGUGACAACCCACCGCUUCCAUCACUGAUGAAGCUCACCAAGACCUUCCCUCCAUUGUAAUUAGAGCUCUGAGUCUGAAAAUAGGCCAUAAACUGAGAAACAUUGGUACUCUGAUCAUAAGCAUAAAAUUGGAAAUUGACAGUCAAUGAGAUUGCCAUAGCUCUUCCACAAGGCCAAGUAAUGACUCUGAACUUGAUCAUCAUCAAAUGGAGCUAUAGAAGCAAAAGAGAUGAGUCCAUUUUCUUUCAUUUUGGUUAUAAGCUGUCCAAUGCACUCUGCAAAGGUGUUUGGAUCGGUGUUGUUGAAGUGUUCAUAGUCGAUGUCAAUGCCAUCUAAGUUGUACUGUUUGAUGAUUUAACUGCUGCUUGCAGGCACCAGGAGCUUCUGAGGCAUGGCAGAAGCUAUAAAGAAAGCAAAUGGUGUUCUUUUUUCCGAUGAGAAGCUGUGUAAAUAGCUUGUUCAAUUGCUUAUGGCUCUUGACUACUUACAUGUGAAUCAUAUUCUUCAUCGAGAUGUUAAGUCUUGUUCUUGCGGUGUUCAAAUAUAUUCUUGGCAAAAGAUCAAGACAUACGUCUUGGUGAUUUUGGACUUGCUAAGAUGUUGCCAUCAGAUGAUCUUGCAUCCUCUGUUGUAGGAACUCCAAGUUAUAUGUGCCCUGAGCUUCUUGCUGACAUACCUUAUGGCUCUAAGUCAGACAUUUGGUCCUUGGUCAGGCCCUCAU